GUCAUACAAAGCGGGCCGGGGUGCUGCAAGGCCCAGCAAGCUUUGCGGCUUACUGGCAUAGACUAAAGGCCAGGGCUACAGGCCCUUUGCUGCUGCACAAGCCCAGCAACAAUAAGGUUGUGGCAUGUGGGUGAGUGGACUCAGCCAAACGGGACUGGUUUCAGCGUUUUGGGCUCGGGGUUUCAGGCCCUGUUGAGGUGAAGUCCAGGCCGGGGCCUGGUUGUUGUGUCCAUAGUGAUGGUGCGGUGGUGUGCCGCACCAUAUCCCAUUCUCCUGUCUUUCAAAAAUCCCUUAGGGUUUAGGGAAUCCUAAAAUUGCUUCUAAUUUAAUUUUAUACAUUGACUCACAUGUUCCAAACUCCGUCGUGUAAGUUUAUCUUACAUUGCCGGUCCCAAGCCCGGAUAAAGGAGGAGGGGGAGGGCGUCAGGUAGUCGACAACCGGCACUCCAUGAUCACGUCGAAUCCUUAUGAAAAUGAAUCCAGAACGAAAUCGCGCUAAAGCUAGGGCGUCACCCGUAAGUGGCGCGCUGUGUGGCCCGAGCACAGUGAUAAGUGAGCAAGGGUCGCUGUAUCUCCAUCGGCACCCGGAUGCAGUGUUAAAUGAGCAAGGGGGCUAUAGAAACUUCUUUUCGAACGACUCCACUCAAAGUUGUUUGGGAGCAUAUGCUCCUAUCAACUUUACACGGGACACACAAAAGAAGUACUUUGAUCAUAUUAGACGGGGAAGGGUGAAGAAGCUAGGAAAGAAGGGUAGAGUUCAAGAGAGCAAAAUGCGUUUAGGAACGUGGAAUAUAGGAACCUUGACAGGAAAAUCUAUGGAAGUAGUAGAAGUUAUGGUGAGGAGAAGGAUAAAUAUUAUGUGCCUACAAGAAACUAAGUGGGUUGGUCGUAAGGCAAAGGAUCUAGAAAACUUAGGGUUUAAACUAUGGUAUUCGAGCACAAAUAGAACGAGAAACGGUGUUGGCAUCAUCGUGGACAAGACCUUGACACAAGAUGUUGUAGAUGUCAAGAGGGUAGGAGAUAGAAUCAUGGCAAUCAAGAUUGUAAUAGGACAAGAACUUAUCAAUGUGAUUAGUGCGUACGCACCUCAAGUAGGGUUGGAUACGAGUUCGAAGGAGAAAUUUUGGGAAGACCUUGGAGACUUGGUGCAAGGAAUUGCUCAGACGGAGAAGUUAUUUAUAGGAGGAGAUUUAAAUGGACACGUGGGCAGGGAGACAGGCAACUAUGGAGGUUUUCAUGGUGGCCAUGGUUUUGGGGAGAGAAACGAGGAUGGGGAAGCUAUCUUGGAUUUUGCAAUGGCAUAUGAUCUCUUCUUAGCCAACACCUUCUUUAAGAAGAGAGAAGAACAUGUGAUCACCUACAAGAGUGGGUCGUCAAAAACACAAAUAGAUUUUCUUCUAAUGAGGAAAGGGGAUCGUAUAACUUGUAAGGAUUGUAAAGUUAUACCAGGAAAGAGCGUGGCUAAUCAACAUCGCUUGUUGGUGAUGGAUGUACAUAUCAAAAGAGUGAGAAAAAAGAACAAGACUUGGAAGUGCCCAAGGACUAGAUGGUGGAAUCUAAAAGAAGAAAAACAAGCCAUUUUCAAAGAGAAAGUAAUCACCCAGUGUGUGUGGGAUAGAGAGGGGGAAGCUAACCAAAUGUGGGAUUCCAUGGCUAGUUGUAUCCGAAAAGUAGCAAAAGAGGUAUUAGGAGAGUCCAAGGGCUUUGCCCCACACCAAAAGGAAUCUUGGUGGUGGAAUGAGGAGGUACAAACAAAGGUGAAGGCUAAGAAGGAAUGUUGUAAAGCCUUAUACAAGGAUAGGACCGAUGAAAAUGGUGAAAGGUAUAGAAAAGCGAAGCAAGAGGCGAAGAAAGCUGUGAAAGAAGCUAAGUUAGCGGCUUAUGACGAUAUGUAUAAGCGACUAGAUACCAAAGAAGGAGAGUUUGAUAUCUAUAAACUAGCUAGAGCAAGGGAAAAGAAGACAAGAGACCUAAACCAAGUGAGGUGCAUCAAAGAUGAGGAUGGAAAGGUUCUUGCUACAGAGAACGUGGUUAAAGACAGAUGGAAAGGUUAUUUUCAUAAUCUUUUCAAUGAAGGACAUGAAAGGAGUGCUUCUUUAGGGGAGUUGAGUAACUCAGAAGAGUGUAGAAACUACUCUUUUUAUCCUAGAAUCCGGAAGGAAGAAGUGGUUGUAGCUUUGAAGAAGAUGAAGCAUAGAAAAGCAGUAGGCCCAGACGAUAUACCAAUCGAAGUGUGGAAAGUUUUGGGAGAGACAGGUAUAACAUGGCUCACUGACCUUUUCAAUAGGAUUUUGAAAACGAAGAAGAUGCCAAAUGAGUGGCGAAUGAGCACUUUGGUGCCUAUCUACAAGAAUAAGGGCGAUGUACAAAAUUGCAUGAACUAUAGAGGUAUUAAGCUAAUGAGUCAUACAAUGAAGCUUUGGGAGAGAGUCAUUAAGCAUAGAUUGAGGCAAGAGACACGGGUAUCGGACAACAAAUUCGGGUUCAUGCCAGGGCGCUCAACCAUGGAGGCAAUCUAUCUCUUACGAAGAUUGAUGGAAAGAUAUAGAGCUGGGAAAAAGGAUUUACACAUGGUCUUUAUAGAUUUGGAAAAAGCGUAUGAUAGGGUCCCAAGAGACAUUCUUUGGAGGAUUUUAGAGAAGAAAGGAGUACGAGUAGCAUAUAUCCAAGCUAUACAGGAUAUGUAUGAAGGAGCAAAGACUGCCGUAAGAACUCAUGAAGGACAAACCGAAAACUUUCCCAUAACUGUAGGAUUACAUCAAGGCUCAUCUUUAAGUCCUUACCUUUUUGCGUUGGUAAUAGAUGAGUUAACAGGACAUAUUCAAUAUGAUAUUCCUUGGUGUAUGCUUUUCGCAGACGAUAUAAUGUUGAUAGAUGAAACUUAGGAAGGGGUAAAUGCAAAGCUUAACCUUUGGAGAGAAGUGUUGGAAUCUAAAGGUCUUCGCCUAAGCCGAUCAAAGACAGAAUAUAUGGAGUGCAAGUUCAGUGCAAAUGGAGGCCAAAACGAGUUAAGGGUGAGGAUCAGAGAUCAAGAAAUACCAAAGAGCGACCGUUUUCGUUACCUAGGAUCUAUCUUACAAAAGAACGGAGAAUUAGAUGGAGAUCUCAACCAUAGAAUACAAGCUGGAUGGAUGAAGUGGAAGAGUGCAUCCGGCGUGUUGUGUGACCGCCGUAUGCCACUGAAGCUCAAGGGAAAAUUUUAUAGAACGGUAAUAAGGCCAGCGAUGUUGUAUGGCACAGAAUGUUGGGCGGUGAAGCAUCAACACGUACACAAAAUGGGUGUAGCGGAGAUGAGGAUGCUUCGUUGGAUGUGUGGGCACACGAGAAAGGAUAAGAUUAGGAAUGAGGAUAUCCGGGGUAAAGUAGGAGUAGCCGAAAUUGAAGGAAAGAUGAGAGAAAAUUGGUUACGGUGGUUUGGACAUGUGCAAAGAAGGCCUACUGACGCUCCGAUUAGAAGAUGCGACUAUAGGACAGAGGUUCAGGGCCGAAGGGGUAGAGGAAGACCUAGGAAAACUUUGGAAGAGACCCUAAGAAAAGACUUAGAGUAAUUGGAUCUAACGGAGGACAUGACACAGGACAGAACACAAUGGCGUUCUAAGAUUCAUAUAGCCGAUCCCACUCAGUGACUUGGAUUUUCCAAGUCUCCAACCGAGAAGUUUUCCUCACUCGGGAAAUUAAGGGAACACUACCUCAACCUACAUGCUCCACUCACAAAGCUUCAACAUACAAGCUUCAACAAAAGAAAAUUCAAAGAACUUAGCGAAGAAGGCUUUGGUGUAUUUAACACAAUACGUUGAAAUGAAGGAAAGCUUAUUUAUUGAUAUCCCCAAUAAGUUACAAAUAUGUACAUAUACUUGAGACAAAAUAAUUGGAAAGUACCAUAUUAUUACCCACAAGGGUAAGGGAACAGUACCACUGCUGGAUAAUUGGAAAGUCCCGGUGUGUCAACCUUUGUGCUUCGUGGCAAGGUAGACUAGCAAACAUGCCCAACCUUUACUCACAUUCGAGAAAACACUCCCAACAGGAUUGCUUGCUCCAAAAUCGAAGAGGCACCGCCCUCCGAAUCUCGAGAGCCAGACUCCCAACAUGAUUACUUUCUAAAAAAUCGAAGAGAAGGUAAAGGAACAGUACCACUACUGGAUAAUUGGAAAGUCCAUGUGUGUCAACCUUUGUGCUUCGUGGCAAGGUAGACUAGCAAACAUGCCCAACCUUUACUCACAUUCGAGAAAACACUCCCAACAGGAUUGCUUGCUCCAAAAUCGAAGAGGCACCGCCCUCCGAAUCUCGAGAGCCAGACUCCCAACAUGAUUACUUUCUAAAAAAUCGAAGAGAGGGUAAAGGAACAGUACCACUACUGGAUAAUUGGAAAGUCCAUGUGUGUCAACCUUUGUGCUUCGUGGCAAGGUAGACUAGCAAACAUGCCCAACCUUUACUCACAUUCGAGAAAACACUCCCAACAAGAUUGCUUGCUCCAAAAUCGAAGAGGCACCACCCUCCGAAUCUCGAGAGCCAGACUUCCAACAUGAUUACUUUCUCAAAAAUUGAAUAGAGGGUAAAGGAACAGUACCACUGCUGGAUAAUUGGAAAGUCCCUGUGUGUCAACCUCUGUGCUUCGUGGCAAGGUAGACUAGCAAACAUGCCCAACCUUUACUCACAUUCGAGAAAACACUCCCAACAAGAUUGCUUGCUCCAAAAUCGAAGAGGCACCGCCCUCCGAAUCUCGAGAGCCAGACUCCCAACAUGAUUACUUUCUCAAAAAUCGAAGAGACACCGCUCUCCGAAUCUCGAGAGCCAGACCCCCAGCAGGAUUGCUUUCUUAAAAAUCGAAGAGGCAUCGUUCUCUGAAUCUCGAGAGCCAGAUCCCCGACAGGAUUGCUUGUUCGAAAACUGAAGAUGCACCACUUUCCCAACUUCAAAAGCUGGAUCUCCUUGGAUAAAGCUUGUCUAUAAUCUUCACACGCAACAUCAGCUUUCCAGAUACCACAUACCACUUUUUCAAAGUGCUCUGACAGAGUUAAAACAUGUGAAGCUGGCAGCUCCCACUACCGUGCUAUGACCAAGCAGGGUAAAGGAAUAGCAUUAUUACUUGAUGUUAGGGAGACUCCUAUAUAUGUCGACCUCCAUCCCUAACGGAUAGGCAGACCUGCAAAAAUGCUCAACCCUUUCUCUUAUCUGAGAGGGCACUCCCAACGAAACCUUUCAAAAUAUUCAGCUUUCUUUCCCCCCGAUAAUACCUCUGUAAACAAGCUAUACUAGAGCAAGAAUAUCUCAUAUCAUCAGGGUUAAAAGCAAGAGUAUCCCAUAUCAUGCUUUUUCCCUGUCUUUUCCUUUGGCCUUGUUCUUACCUGCAAAACAAGGAGAAAGAGAGCAAUCAGUCAGCACUUAGAAUUAAGCUUCCAGCCAGGAACUUACUGCCUGGAACCCCUUACCUGAUUACUUACCUGGCAUUGCUCUCGAGUACUCAUCUUCAACAUCUUAUGCUUCCAGGGAAGAUACCGCAUCUGCCUGAGGAACAGAUAGGGUAAGUGAGAAGGAUACAAGGAAGCAUGUGGAGACAAGCGUAACAGCACACGUGCCGAUACAUCCACUACUCUGUCAAAAGCAAAAGUAUCCCAUAUCAGCAGGGUCGAACGUACUCUAGAUUUGAUGGACUUGUUUUGACCCUCAAAUUCUUCAGUCGGCCUUAUACUCUGGAGGAAACCAGAAAACCCUCCAGCCCGGUUCAAGAAUAAGCCUGUGGAAAGUUACUUCUUCAAAAGCAAAAGUAUCCCAUAUCAUCUCUUCUCAUUUUUCUUCUCUUUAUCCUUCAUGCUGCCUGCAAGAUAGGGAGAAUGUGAACAAUCAGCCGGAGCUCUGAUUGCUUACCUUGUCUGUCACCUCUUUCAGCAGAUCCCCUAGCCCGGCGACUUGGGGGACUCCUACUACAUGGUUUGUAUCGCGCUUGACCAAGCCUGAAACUACAAGUAAGCUUCAAGUGAAAUUGAUACAUUACCUUGUGCAUCUCCACCAGUUACAGAUACCACCCCUGGAUGGAGGAAGAGUACUUCCAGAGAAGAUGCCACAUCUACUUAUGAGACAGAUAAGGCAAGUCAAGACGAUACCACACUCCGGUACUUAGAAGUUUCGUGGUUACGAGAUCAUUCUCCCACAAUAUUUCCUAAUGUCAUUUGUACUAAAUCAUUCACUUGUACUCACUAAAGGAGAGCUUGAACCUAUGUACUUUUGUAAACCCUUCACAAUUAAUGAGAACUCCUCUAUUCCGUGGACGUAGCCAAUCUGGGUGAACCACGUACAUCUUGUGUUUGCUUUCCUAUCCUUAUUCAUUUAUAUACUUAUCCACACUAAUGACCGGAGCAAUCUAGCGAAGAUCACAAAAAGUGACUGUUUUCGCUACCUAGGAUCUAUCUUGCAAGAGAACGGAGAAUUAGAUGGAGAUCUCAACCAUAGAAUACAAGCUGGAUGGAUAAAGUGUAAGAGUGCAUCCGGCGUGUUGUGUAACCGUCGUAGGCCACUGAAGCUCAAGGAAAAAUUUUAUAGGACGGCAAUAAGGCCAGCGAUGUUGUAUGGCACAGAAUGUUGGGCGGUGAAGCAUCAACACGUACACAAAAUGGGUGUAGCGGAGAUGAGGAUGCUUCGUGGGAUGUAUGGGCACACGAUAAAGGAUAAGAUUGGGAAUGAGGAUAUCCGAGGUAAAGUAGGAGUAGCCAAAAUUGAAGGAAAUAUGAGAGAAAAUCGGUUCCGGUGGUUUGGACAUGUGCAAAGAAGGCCUACUGACGCUCCGGUUCGAAAAUGUGACUACGGGACAGAGGUUCAUGGCCGAAGGGGUAGAGGAAGACCUAGGAAAACUUUGGAAGAGACCCUAAGAAAAGACUUGAGUACUUGGAUCUAACGGAGGACAUGACACAAAACCGAGCGCAAUGGCGUUCUAGGAUUCAUAUAGCCGACCCCACUUAGUGGGAAAAGGCUUUGUUGUUGUUGUUGUUGACUCACAUGUUCCACAUAACAAUUUAAUUGUGCAAUGCAUGAAACAAAUAUAUAUAUAUAUAUAUAUAUAUAUAUAUAUAUUGACAAAUAUAUGAACAUAUACAAUAUAUAUAACAGAAGGAAAAUAUAAACAUAGGGGGUUCAUGCAUCAUGGGGAAUGUUUUCAUGCUUCAAGGUCGUUUCAAAUAUCUUACUUUAUUUUAAGCAUACCUGAUUGGCAAAAACCAACAAAAGCCUUUGAAUUUGUAGAAGAUCCUUCGCAGAAAGCCGGAAUUGCAUCUCCAAUGCGUUGUAUCAUGUUCAACAAAGAAAAAUUAAAUUGAAUCAAUAACAUGUACAUCAAUUCAAUAAAAUAAUAAAUUAAUCAUAAAAAGAAUGAUUAAAACGUAAUACUCCCCUGAUGGAAGAUAAAACUCUCUUGUUAGCGCAACGUCAAGAGCGUGCUGUUAACGUGUUGUAGGCAUAAUAUACUGAACAAUUAUGGAGGCCUUAGAGAGAAAGGGUGUAGCAUAUAGGGAGAAGAGAGAUGUGUAAUUGUGGAUGUGUUCUAUUCCACCCAUUGUGCCUUUAUUUAUAGUACUAGGAUAGGUAAAAACCUUUCCCUUUAGGAUUACAACAUUUAAUAGGUAAUCAACUCCUAAUAGGAAUAUAAGAGAUAUUCCAAUAUAUACUAAGAUUUACACAAUCACAUUCCUAAUCUAAUAGGACUGCAACAUCAACAUAUUUAAUAGGAAAUAAUAUCUUGAGAUAAUGGAGUAAUUAUCCCUAAUUGAUUUAAAUUGGGAUUACUUACUUGAUUGGAUUCAAUCUUCAAUUGAGAAUGUAUUAAAGAUAGUAUUUGGGUAAUUAGUCCUUAUCUUUAAUUCCUCGCCAAGGGCAAGCGAGCUAUGGGCAGUCGUAUUCAGCUACUGAGACCUCUAGGGAUGUGAGCUGCGUGUGGGAACACCUGAGAAGCAUGCCCAUUUAUUGAGGGCAAUCUUAUCUUUCUUGAGUAAAAGUCCACAUGCCGCCUCUAGAAUUUUUGGGAUUAUUUUAGGCUCCACAACUGUCACGGUAGUUUCAAGGUGGUUUGUGAGUAACAGCGUCGAAAAUGGACAACAACAGUACAAAGAAAUUAAGAGAAUGAGAGAAGAGCGGUGCGGGUUAAGCCUUUACUCGUUGACUGAUUCGAGGUGAUCAGGUUCUAGUUUCUUCAAACUAUUGUCAGCUAACAUAAAGAAAGAUCGAGCCGGCCAACUUGUGAAUAUGCAGGUGGGUUGGGCGGUUUAUCGAGUUGUAUGAACUGUCACGGUAGUUUCAAGGUGGUUUGUGAAUAACGGCGUCGGAAAUGGACGACAACAACACAUAGAAAUUAAGAGAGAGUGAGGCAUUUUUUGAAUCACGGUGUGCUACGCUUGACUUACACGUUUUAAAUGUAUUUAUAUGCAUUAAUUGCUUCAAUAUUUUUUUUUAUGACAAAAAGGAAGUCAAAUAUUUGAAGUAAAUGAGUAAUAUUUGAACAUGCUAGAAGAAACUCCUCAUAAACCAAUCAAAGCAGCUGAAUCCACAUAAUAAAAUCUGUCUUUCAAUUUGCAUCUAAAUUCUGUUGAAUUUACAUUAAGAAUAGAGAAAAUAAUAUUUAAUAAACAACUUAUUGAAUUACAUUAUUGCUAGCCCAUUGUGAGGCUAAGCUCACCCCCUCUCCCUUAGUGUAAAAAACAUUGUGUGUCAAAAAAAAAAUCAUUUGACAACUAUUUGAAUCACAUUAUUAUGCACGUGCAAAAGACUUUUUUUAUAAUUGGCACUACGUGCCUCUUAAGUGUUUACAAAAUAGAGAAAAUAAUACAACUGAUUGAAUCACAUUAUUGUGUGCGUGUGAAAGACCUUUUUUAUCACCAGUGAUACACGGCUCUUAAGAUGUUUUGAACGUAUAUAGAAAUAGAGAAAAUAAUAUUUAAUAAACAACUAUUGAAUCAAAUUAUUGAUAACUCAAUGUGAGGCUAAGCCCAUCCCUUCCUCCUUAGUGUAGAUUAGGGGUGGGCACGGGCCAGGCCCACAUAAUUCCUAAAUAAAAAAACCCACAUAAUUCCUAAAUCAAUAGAAAAGCUUAUGCAAAAAUCCUAAAUUCCUAAAUCAAAAACCCUAAUUCAUAAAAUUACCUAAGGAUUUGUAGGAUGAUGGUGGUGUUCUCUACGACGAGGAUGAUGUAGUGGUGGUCGAAACUCGUGAUUGGGAGGAUCGAUGGAGAAUCAGGAGAGGAUGCCACGAUGGUGAUGGUGGUUGGCUGCUUGAUGUUGACACAAUCGAGGUUAGCUUAGUCACUACAGGUGGGAGGGAGAAUGAGAAAGUGUGGAAAGUCAAUGGACGGAGAUGGAAGCCUGGGCUCGAGAUUGAGGUCUGAGAUGAGAGAGGAAAAGAGAUUCAGAGAGGAGAGAGUUGCCGCCCACUGCAACUACUCUAGUUGGGAAUUCGAGGGAGAGAAAGUGUGUAGGCGUUGAGGAGAGAAAAUGGUGGUGGUUGCAUUGAGGAGAGUAGAUGUGGUGUCUAAGUCGGGAUAGAGACCUCGAGGUCGAGGCUCGAAUUCUAGAGAGGAGAAAGUUGAGUGAAUUGGGUCUAAGAACACGAAGUUAGGAGUCUUGGGACGAGACAACCAAAUAAGAAUAAGAAAGGUGAUAGAUGGUAGAGAUUUAAUCAAUUAGGAAAUCAACGGUCCGGACCGGGGGCCCGUUUUCUCCAAUUUGUAAAACCGCCUCGCCCUGUUAUUUACCUGGACACGUCCCGCCCCACCUCAUUUUGUAUUUAUAAUUUUUAGACCCACCCCAAAC
rnacentral:lncRNA from 1 species